UACGGGGGGGGGCAAGCGUUUGUUCGGAAUUACUGGGCGUAAAGGGCUCGUAGGCGGCCAACUAAGUCAGACGUGAAAUCCCCAGGCUCAACCUGGGAACUGCGUCUGAUACUGGUUGGCUUGAAUCCGGGAGAGGGAUGCAGAAUUCCAGGUGUAGCGGUGAAAUGCGUAGAUAUCUGGAGGAACACCGGUGGCGAAGGCGGUUCUCUGGGCAACAACUGACGCUGAGGAGCGAAAAGCGUGGGGAGCGAACAGG
rnacentral:rRNA from 1 species